rnacentral:rRNA from 1 species
UACGAAGGGUGCAAGCGUUACUCGGAAUUACUGGGCGUAAAGGGUGCGUAGGUGGUUUUUUAAGUCCGUUGUGAAAUCCCUGGGCUCAACCUGGGAAUGGCAGUGGAUACUGGAAAGCUAGAGUGCGGUAGAGGGUAGUGGAAUUCCCGGUGUAGCAGUGAAAUGCGUAGAGAUGUGGAGGAACACCGAUGGCGAAGGCAGCCCCCUGGGUCAAGACUGACGCUCAUGCACGAAAGCGUGGGGAGCAAACAGG